rnacentral:rRNA from 1 species
AGAGUUUGAUCCUGGCUCAGAACGAACGCUGGCGGCGUGCCUAACACAUGCAAGUCGAGCGCGAAAAGGGCAACCUGAGUAGAGCGGCGCACGGGUGCGUAACACGUGGGUAAUCUGCCCUCGAGUCUGGGAUAACCUUCCGAAAGGUUGGCUAAUACCAAAUAAGCCUACGGAGACCUUGGUCUCUGAAGGAAAAGUGGACCUCUAUUUAUAAGUUCACACUCGAGGAUGAGCCCGCGGCCCAUCAGUUAGUUGGCGGGGUAACGGCCCACCAAGACUACGACGGGUAGCUGGUCUGAGAGGACGAUCAGCCACACUGGAACUGAGACACGGUCCAGACUCCUACGGGAGGCAGCAGUGGGGAAUUUUCCACAAUGGGCGAAAGCCUGAUGGAGCAACGCCGCGUGUGUGAUGAAGGUCUUCGGAUUGUAAAGCACUUUCGACCGGGACGAAUAACCCCUGGCUAACAUCCAGGGGCUUGACGGUACCGGGAGAAGAAGCACCGGCUAACUCUGUGCCAGCAGCCGCGGUAAUACAGAGGGUGCAAGCGUUGUUCGGAAUUAUUGGGCGUAAAGCGCGUGUAGGCGGCUUGAAAAGUCAGAUGUGAAAUCCCUCGGCUUAACCGAGGAAGUGCGUCUGAAACUCUCGAGCUUGAGUGCCGGAGAGGGUGGCGGAAUUCCGCAAGUAGAGGUGAAAUUCGUAGAUAUGCGGAGGAACACCGGUGGCGAAGGCGGCCACCUGGACGGCAACUGACGCUGAGACGCGAAAGCGUGGGGAGCAAACAGGAUUAGAUACCCUGGUAGUCCACGCCGUAAACGAUGAGAACUAGGUGUCGUGGGUGUUGACCCCCGCGGUGCCGCAGCUAACGCAUUAAGUUCUCCGCCUGGGAAGUACGGCUGCAAGGUUAAAACUCAAAGGAAUUGACGG